UUGUGGGUGUUUAUGUAAUUC
rnacentral:siRNA from 1 species